rnacentral:rRNA from 1 species
UACAGAGGUCCCAAGCGUUGUUCGGAUUCAUUGGGCGUAAAGCGCGCGUAGGCGGCUACUUAAGUCGGAUGUGAAAGCCCCUGGCUCAACUGGGGAAGUGCACCCGAAACUGAGUAGCUUGAGUGCAAAAGAGGGCCGCGGAAUUCCCGGUGUAGAGGUGAAAUUCGUAGAUAUCGGGAGGAACACCGGUGGCGAAGGCGGCGGCCUGGGUUGACACUGACGCUGAGGCGCGAAAGCGUGGGGAGCAAACAGG